AUGGCGCCAUCCAAAUCCCAUCUCACCUUGCUCCUCGCCGUAGUUCUGAUCGCCGCCACGCCGCAGCCUUCGGCGGCCGUCAGGGAGGCCCCUGCCCCCUCCACCAGCAACGAUCCAGUAGCAAAAACAUCGGCAUGGUGCAUUCCCUGCUUUUCGUUUCUGCCACAGCUAUUCUGUAUACCGCCGGUAUUCUGUCCGCCAACGCCUAGUGCGCCGCCGCCCGCCGCCACCGCCAGCGAAGCCGGAGCCGAAAGAGUGUCUACCAUCGUUGAUGGGGUUGAUGCCAUGCAAGGAUUACCUCACCAACAGAACUGCGCCGGAGCCUCCAAAGCAAGGCAAGUGCUGCGAUGGCCUCAGGUCACUCUUCAAGAACGCCGCCGUUUGCACAUGCCGCAUAUCGGACGACGGCGACCUCGACAGGCUCAUGUCGGCACGCCUAGAUGGAGGAAAAUUCCAUCAUCUGUCGGUUAUAUGUGA
rnacentral:rRNA from 1 species